UUGUUCUUUAAAUGGGGACUUGUAUCAACGGCACCACGAGGGUUAGACUGUCUCCUUUUUCAAAUCAGUGAAAUUAAUCUCCCCGUGAAGAAGCGGGGAUACUCNUAUAAGACGAGAAGACCCCAUGGAGCUUCAAACCCAACUACACCCCUAGCUCUUAUAGCCCCACAACCCCCCCCCC
rnacentral:rRNA from 1 species